rnacentral:rRNA from 1 species
GGGUUGUGAGGUUAAGCGACUAAGCGUACACGGUGGAUGCCCUGGCAGUCAGAGGCGAUGAAGGACGUGCUAAUCUGCGAUAAGCGCCGGUAAGGUGAUAUGAACCGUUAUAACCGGCGAUUUCCGAAUGGGGAAACCCAGUGUGAUUCGUCACACUAUCAUUAACUGAAUCCAUAGGUUAAUGAGGCGAACCGGGGGAACUGAAACAUCUAAGUACCCCGAGGAAAAGAAAUCAACCGAGAUUCCCCCAGUAGCGGCGAGCGAACGGGGAGGAGCCCAGAGCCUGAAUCAGUGUGUGUGUUAGUGGAAGCGUCUGGAAAGGCGCGCGAUACAGGGUGACAGCCCCGUACACAAAAAUGCACAUAUUGUGAGCUCGAUGAGUAGGGCGGGACACGUGGUAUCCUGUCUGAAUAUGGGGGGACCAUCCUCCAAGGCUAAAUACUCCUGACUGACCGAUAGUGAACCAGUACCGUGAGGGAAAGGCGAAAAGAACCCCGGCGAGGGGAGUGAAAAAGAACCUGAAACCGUGUACGUACAAGCAGUGGGAGCCUC